UACGGGGGGGGUAAGCGUUGUUCGGAAUUAUUGGGCGUAAAGGGCUCGUAGGCGGCCAACUAAGUCAGACGUGAAAUCCCUCAGCUUAACUGGGGAACUGCGUCUGAUACUGGAUGGCUUGGAUCCGGGAGAGGGAUGCGGAAUUCCAGGUGUAGCGGUGAAAUGCGCAGAUAUCAGGAGGAACACCGGUGGCGAAGGCGGGUCUCUGGGCAGUAACUGACGCUGAGGAGCGAAAGCGUGGGGAGCGAACAGG
rnacentral:rRNA from 1 species